rnacentral:rRNA from 1 species
UACAGGGGGUGCAAACGUUGCUCGGAAUCAUUGGGCGUAAAGCGCACGUAGGCGGUUCGUUAUGUCGGAUGUGAAAGCCCUUGGCUUAACCGAGGAAGUGCAUCCGAAACUGGCGAGCUAGAGUACUAAAGAGGAUCGCGGAAUUCCCGGUGUAGAGGUGAAAUUCGUAGAUAUCAGGAGGAACACCGGUGGCGAAGGCGGGUCUCUGGGCCGUUACUGACGCUGAGGAGCGAAAGCGUGGGGAGCGAACAGG